AGUGGACGCUGGCGGUAGGCCUAACACAUGCAAGUCGAACGGCAGCACAGUAAGAGCUUGCUCUUACGGGUGGCGAGUGGCGGACGGGUGAGGAAUACAUCGGAAUCUACUUUUUCGUGGGGGAUAACGUAGGGAAACUUACGCUAAUACCGCAUACGACCUACGGGUGAAAGCAGGGGAUCUUCGGACCUUUCGCGUUUGUAUGAGCCGAUGUCGGAUUAGCUAGUUGGCGGGGUAAAGGCCCACCAAGGCGACGAUCCGUAGCUGGUCUGAGAGGAUGAUCAGCCACACUGGAACUGAGACACGGUCCAGACUCCUACGGGAGGCAGCAGUGGGGAAUAUUGGACAAUGGGCGCAAGCCUGAUCCAGCCAUACCGCGUGGGUGAAGAAGGCCUUCGGGUUGUAAAGCCCUUUUGUUGGGAAAGAAAAGCAGCAGGUUAAUACCCCGCUGUUCUGACGGUACCCAAAGAAUAAGCACCGGCUAACUUCGUG
rnacentral:rRNA from 1 species